UACCCUCUGGGUCUGACCACAGAGCCAAUUUCUCAGCCAGCGGAUCGUGGUGGACCCAAGGCCACAAUUGGUCAAUUUCACCAAGAGGCGAUCAUGGGAAAGCAGAUUGAAG